CACGUAGGGGGCAAGCGUUGUCCGGAUUUAUUGGGCGUAAAGAGCGUGUAGGCGGCCAGGUAGGUCCGUUGUGAAAACUCGAGGCUCAACCUCGAGACGCCGAUGGAAACCAUCUGGCUAGAGUCCGGAAGAGGAGAGUGGAAUUCCCGGUGUAGCGGUGAAAUGCGCAGAUAUCGGGAAGAACACCCGUGGCUAAGGCGGCUCUCUAGUACGGUACUGACGCUGAGACGCGAAAGCGUGGGGAGCGAACAGG
rnacentral:rRNA from 1 species